rnacentral:lncRNA from 1 species
AAAAAAGAAUGACUCCUAGACUUUUGGUCCCAGCCAGAUGGUGGUGCUUUUUCCUGAGAUGAGGAAGAGAAGGAAGAAGAAAAUAUUUGGAAACGAUACAGAGUUCAUCUUUGGACAUGUUAAAUUUGAGGUGUUAAAUGAGAAAAUGCACAUUUUGAGGUGUCUCCUAAAGAAAAUGUCAAGUAGAUGUUUUGAUAGUCUUUGAAUCUGGAGCUAGGGGAGAGAUUGAAACUGAAGAUAAGGAGCUAAGAAUAUGUAUAGGUCCAAUGGCCUGAGUGCGAUUCCUACACGGUGAAUAUAGAAGGCUUGAGGACUGAGCUCUAAGGCCCUCUGGCAUUUAUAAAUUACAAUGAGAAGGAAGACCAGUAAAGAAGUCUAAAACCAGUUCAGCAGGAGGAAAGCAAUGAAAGAAUGGCAUUCCAGAAACAAAGGAAAGAAAGUUUUUAUAGAAUCAGUGGAGUAGGCAGAGUAAUGACCCCUGAAAGAUGUCAGGUCCUAAUUCCCUGACCCUGUGAAUAUGUGACCUUAGAUGGCAAAGAGGCAUUGCAGAUGUGAUUAAGGUUAGGGACCUUGGAAUGGGGAGACUGUCCUGCAUUAUUUGGAUAGGACUUAAAAGCAGAGAAUAUUGCCUGGUUAAGGUCAGCGAGAGAGAUGACUACUGAAGAAUGGACAGAGAUAUUUGGUGUUUCUGGCUUUGAAGAUGGAAGAAGAGAGCUACAAACCAAGAAAUAUGAGCAGCCUCUAGAAGUCUCUAGAAUCUGGAAAAGGCAAGGAAACAGAUUCUUCUCUAGAGCCUCCAGAGAGGAAUGCAGCCCUGCCUGCAUUUUAGCCUAGUGUGACCCAUCUCUGACUUCACCCACAGAACUGUAAAAUGAUAAAUGUGUGUGGGUUUUGUUGUUGUUGUUGUUGUUUUUGAGAUGGAGCUUCGCUCUUGUUGCCCAGGCUGGAGUGCAAUGGCAUGAUCUCGGCUCACUGCAACACCCACCUCCCGGGUUCAAGCGAUUCUCCUGCCUCAGCCUCCUGAGUAGCUGGGAUUACAGGCGUGUGCCACCAAGCCCGGCUAAUUUUGUAUUUUUAGUAGAGACAGGGUUUCUCCAUGUUGAUCAGGCUGGUCUCAAACUCCUGACCUCAGGUGAUCCACCUGCCUCGGCCUCCCAAAUUGCUGGGAUUACCUCGGCCUCCCAAGGUGCUAGGUGUGAGCCACUGUACCUGGCCAAAUGUGUGUUGUUUUAAGCCAUUAACUUUGUGGCAAUCUGCUGCUGCAGGAAUGGAAAACCAAUACAACGAGGCAAUGAUGAGCUGGUCAAAUCACCAUCCAAUCCCAGCAAAAGGAGAAUGAAAAUUCUCCAGUGGUUUGGGCAGGAUGGAGAUCCUUGGAGACCUUCAUGGUAUUAAAUAGUAGUUCAAUGAGGAUGAAAGCAGAUUGGAGUAGACUGAGGAGAACCUGAGAGGGUGGGGAGUAAAGUCUGGGAAUAGGUCCAUCCUUAGAGGAAAUUUGUUAGGAAAGAAAGCCAAGAAGUGUGUAUGUGGAGGGGAGGAGCAGAGGUGGGUGUGGGCUCAGGGGAGUCUGCUCUUAUUUCUUAAGAGAAGAGACAGUGCUGCAUGCUUGUAUGCUGGUAGGGAUGACCCAGGAGAGAGGCACAAAUGUGAUGAGCAAGACAGUCUGAGAUCUCUCUGGAAGUCCUCUACCCCACCCGUGAGUGCUCUGCAGCCAGGAACACAGGUAGAAGAUAGGCAGAAGACCAAUGCCUCAGCCCAGCCUCCCUGGAAGAUGAGGAUCUGUCCCAAACAGUGGGGACACAGGAAUCCCAAGUGGAGCCACUCCCUUCUCCAGGUUUGAUUCCGUAGCCCCUUGACCCAUCCUUUCCAUAACCUGUAUUCCAGGGGCUGUGAGGUCUCUUGGGCUUCCAUUUGCGUGCUUCCCUGAGCAGCAAGGCUGCAUCGAUCUUGUUCUUUGUGUUUCCCAGCCUUGUUGAGAUACAACACACCAAGGGCAUUUGAUAAAUGCUUUGUUAAAUAAUGAUAACGCCACCUCUGUUGAGCACUCACUCUGUGCCAGGGGCUUUACUAACCACAGGUGUGAUUUCACAUAAUCCUGACAAGCAGCCAAUCAUCUCCAUUUUAUAGGCAAACAAGUUGAAGCCCAGGGUUACAUGGUGGGUAGAUGGCAGGGUCAGGACUUGAACCCAGGCAGUCUCGCUCAAGAGGCCCCUCCCAUAACCAGCACACCACUUGGCCCAUGGCAGGUAACAACUGAAGGUUCUAAGGGAGCCCAGUGGAGGGGAGCUGAGGCCUUGGAGAUGACACCCGAGCUUGGGUUUGAAGGAUUAGGAAGACUUAGCCAGUGAAAAAGGUGGGAAGAGACCCCCUAAGUGAAGAGGAAAGCAUAAGCAAAUGUACCAAGGUGGGAGGUUCAUGCAGAGUGACAGGAAGCUCCCGAAGCUGCUUCCAUGUUGCUGUGUAAUCGGAAUGUGGAAACGAGAGGGGAUGCAGGGUGCAAAGACCAGCAAAGGAAAUCUGCUUUAUUUUGUAGGCAAUGGAAAGCCCUGAUGGAGCCCGGUGUAAACUAUGCAGGGUGCCAGAGCCCCCACUGACAGCGCUGGUGUCCACAUGUGGUCACAGGGAUACAGCGGCAGCAUCCCAAAGCCCUAGCCUGGUCCAUCACCCUCAAAACUGCCUCUGGUUUGUCCAAGUCUACCAGGAUUCAAGUUCAUUUCAGAAAAGCAGUGGCCAGAAACCAAGGCCUGGAGGGGGCUGGGGAGGUGUCAGGGAAGGGAUCAGAGGCCAAGCUCUGUGUUUCCUCAGACAAAGAGAGAAAGCAGGCUGAGAGAUGGCGGCAGCAUGUGACACCUGGGCCACAGGCCUGGGCAGCAGCCGUGGCAGCCAAGGGGAUAAUGGCUCUCUUUGUCCUGCGUGUAAAUUCUCCGGAAAAGAAAGGAUUCCAGGGCCUGCUUCUCCGGCUUGCACAAUGCUGGCCGCCUGGGGCCCCACUGCGAGGGCCUGCCAUGGCAUUCGGGGAGCAGUGAGGCCCCUUCUCUGUCUCGUUCCUUCCAGGCGUGCAGAAGCGGAAAGUCAGGCUGCCGUGCCAGACAUUCUGCAGGGGGUUGGGAGGCUGGGCUGAGGCACAGCCUGUGCCAGGAGCUUUGUUUCACAGCCUCGAGGAAACCAAAGCAUCUUGAAGCUCUGAAUUAGAAAGAGUCUUAGAGAGCAUCCAUGCCAGCUCUUCCUAAUACUUGUCCCACCCCCUACCUUCUCUGCCUACCACUCCCCACUCCCCUGCCUUCAGCAGCCAAGAAUGGUUACAAACACAGGCUUUGGAGUCAGAGAGGGCUGAGUUCAAAUGCUGACAAUGCCACUCACAAGCUAUUUCAUCUCUAUGGGCUUCAGUUUCUCCACCUGCAAAAUGGACAUAAUAGCACCUACUCAUAAGAUUGUCAAUAGGAAUAAGUGAGAAAAUGCAUGUACCAUGCUUAAUGUGGACACAGCCUCCAGAAGCGCUCAAUAAGGGUAGACGGUCCAGUAGGUCACCCAGCCUGUACUUGAUUUCCUCCAAGGGCAGGCAAUCACUGCUUGCAUUCCAUUUUCAGACCAAGUUCAAAUCUGUCUCUUAUACCCUCAUGGGUGCUGAGGGUAAAGGGGAGAGGGCCUACAUACAUUAAACAUUUCCUACAUGUUACUGUUGCCAUAAAUUACUCACAGAACUUAAGGGCCUGUCUUAGUCUAUUUGUGUUGCUAUAAAGGAAUACCCGAGGCUGGGUAAUUUAUAAAGACAAGAGGUUUAUUUGGCUCAUGGUUCUGCAGGCUGUACAAGAAGCAUGGAGCCAGCGUCUGGUCUGGUGAGGGCCUCAGGAAGCUUCCAUUCAUGGAAAGGGGAAGGAGAGCUAGUGUGCAGAGAUCACAUGCUAAGAGAGGAAUGGGGAGGGGGUGGUGCAGAGGUGCCAGGAUUUUUAGCAGCCAGCUCUCAUGAAAACUAAUAGAGUGAGAGCUCAUUUAUUACAAUGCAAGAAUGGCACCAAGCAAUUCAUGAGGGAUCAGCCACCAUGACACAAACACCUCCCAUGAGGCCCCACCUCCAGUAUUGGGGAUCACAUUUCAACAUGAGGGUUGGAGGGGUCAAAUAUCCAAACCAUAGCAGGGCCUGUCCAGGGCCACACAGAGGAAGUGACCAGGAUUUGAGCCUGAGUCUUUCCAGCCUUCUGCACCAUGAUGCCGUAAGGGAAAACUUUAUAUAUGUGAAAACAGCUCCACGGCCCCCUCAGUGUCUUCUCUUCCCCACAGAAAACAUCUCCUAGGCCUCAGGGUUUCGUUUUGUGUUCUGCCACCAUCCUGGCCCCUAUCCUCUUGACAGGCUCUAAUUUGUUACUGUCUCUCUUAAAUAAAUAGCUUGCAGACUUAUUCCAGCUGUCUUCUGACCAGUGCAGAAUAGGAAUGCACUCUCACCUCCUUUAUUCUAGGGGCUCUGUUUUUGCUAAUAACACCUAAGAUGAUGUGGCCCUUGGACCAUUCACAUUAUGCUGAUGGCUCUCUCAUACUUAAUGAUCUUCAAUCUGCAAGAAUAACAAGAGCCUUUGUGCUCUGAACAGCUCGUAGCAGUCAUUGCAGAUCUUCAUUUCAGGUAAUAGAACCUUCUUCAACUAGUUUAAGCAGUCAAGCCUUUUAUAUAUUUGGUGGCUCACAGAAUCUCCAGCAGGGCUGAAGAGUCAGGCGUGGAAGAGACACACCCAGGAACAACUCACCAACCACUCCUGACCCGGCUUCUCCACUGGAGACACCAUUGCCAUUAGACAAGAAUGAACCUGCACACCUUGCUGAUGCUGGUGUAGCACUGUCGCUAGAACCUCUGCCUCUGCUCCUCUUGGUCUCCCACAUUCAGUACCUCCUUCUUCACCUUGGUCUCUUCUAAGCCUCCGUGGGUGCAUUUCAGGGAUUAAAUGAGUUAAUAGAUGUAUAGUCAGCCUCCAACAUGGUUCCAGUAAUUCUCACCUCCUGGUAUUGUGUCUUUGUAUAGGCCCCUCCCACAAUGGAUAGGGCUGACCUGUGUAACCAACAGGAUGUUGCAGAAAUGACAUAGUGUGACUUCAACACUAAGUCACAUAAGACAUCGCAACUUCUGCCUUGCUCUUUUGGAGCACUUGUUGUAGGGAAAACCAGCUGCCAUGUCAUAAGGACACUUAAGCAAUGCUCUGGAGAGAUCUACAUGGCAAAGAACUGAGGCCUCCUGCCAACCCCCAGCACAAAUGAGCCAGGCAUGCAAGACAUCAUCUUGGAAAGGGAUCCUGCAGCCUCACUUGAGCCUUCAGAUGAUGCAGCUCCAGCUGACAUCUUGGCUGCAACCUCAUGAGGGACCCUGGGCCAGCACCACCCAGCCAAGCUGCUCCAGACACCUGAUCCACAAAAACUUUUGGUUUCAUGUACAGUCCUGCCUUACCCCGGUUGUCUUCCUUGUUGCCUGUGACCAUGUCUUCUCACUGUAUUUGGCCCCACACCUAGAGGAGCACCUUGAAACCAGUGGAGGGUCCACAGGAGCUGAAGGUGACGUGCCUUCUUUACCUGCCCUCUCAUCAUGCCAGCUGGACUGUUUCAAUGGGGAGAGUGCCUGGCACCACCGGGAACUUCAUCAGCAAGCAUAGGACCCCUGACAAGCAGCUGGCCGUCAGCGGAUUAGAAUGUCAAGGAGGAGAUCCAACUCUAAGCUGCCUGAAGCUGUCUUAGGGAGGAAGUGAAAGAACUGCAAGUGAGAGACACCAAAGCCUCGAAUGGGUUAAAUUGUGUGUCCCCACCAAAAAAUGUUCAAGUCCUAAUCCUCGAUACCUGCGCAUGUGACCCUAUUUGAAAAUAGUGCCUUUGCAGACGAUCAAGUUGAGGCCAUAAGGGUGAUCUCUACACCAGUAUGACUGUGUCCAUAUAAAAAGGGGAAAUUUGGACACAGAGACAGACAUGCACAUGGGGAGAAUGCCACAUGAAGGUGAAAACAGAGAUCAGUGUGAUGCAUCUACAAGCCCAACACCACCAAAGAUUGCCAGCAGACCACCAGGGGCUAGGAGAGAGGCAUGGGGCGGAUUCUCUUUUGCAGCCCUCAGAAGGAAACAGACCUACCGACACCUUGAUCUGGACUUCUAGCCUCCAGGACUAGAAGGGACAACACAUUUCUGUUGUUUAAGUUACCCAGUUGGUGGUGCUUUCUUAUGGCAGCUCAAGUUAACUAAUACAGCGGGGUAUACUAAAGACAGGACAACCCUCUCCUUCUUGCCAACUGUGUGACCCUUGACAAGUUACCUACCCUCUCAGGGGUGAAUUCCUUUUUUCUGUGUAAUGGAGUUUUUGCUUUUGUUUUCAAGACAGGGUCUCACUCUGUCACCCAAGCUGGAGUGCAGUGGCAUGAUCAUGGCUCACUGCAACCUCAAGCUCCUGGGCUCAAGCGAUUGUCCCCCCUCAGCCUCCCGAGUAGCUGGGACUACAUCACGCACCACCAUGCCUGGCUAAUUUUGUGGUGUUUUUUUUGUUUGUUUGUUUGUUUUGUUUUGUUUUGUUUGUAGAGACAGGGUUUCGUCAUGUUACCCAGGCUGCAAUGGAGUUAAUGCUAGUGACUACCACAGGAAGUUCAGUGAGAUGCUUAUGACACAAAUGCUCAGCAUGUCACAAAUGUCCAAAUCAGUCACCACUGGAGAUCAAAAGAGAAGGCCAUGAAAUUCAUGUUAUGUCUUUGUUUCCCCUUCAAAAUUCUAAAAUCUUUGUGGAGGAAAUGAUUCAAAAUACUGAAUCUCCAACAACACCAGAACAGUUCUCUGAACUCCAUAAAUGCUUAAUAAAUGUUUCUUAGUGAGGUGUGUUCCAAAUUAGGAUUUUAUUAGAGUAUUUAUUAGAGUAAGUUCUAUAAUAAGAGCUUUUUUUUUUUUUUUUUCUGAGAUAGAGUCUCGCUCUGUUGCCCAGGCUGGAGUGCAGUGGCUCAAUCUCAGCUCACUGCAACCUCCGCCUCCUGGGUUCAAGAGAUUCUCCUGCCUCAGCCUUCCAAGUAGCUGGGACUACAGGUAUAUACCACCAUGCCUAGCCAAUUUUUUUUUUUUUUUUUGUAUUUUUAGUAGAGACGAGGUUUCUAUGUUGGCCAUAUUGGCCAGGCUGGUCUUGAACUCCUGACCUCAAGUGAUCCUCCCGCCUCGGCCUCCCAAAGUGCUGGGAUUACAGGCGUGAGCCACCGCGCCCAGCCCUAUAAUAAGAUCUUGAUGCUUUUGCAUCCUCAGUCCUGUCACAGUGUCUGCCACACUUAAGAUGUUCAAUAAAUAUUGAUUAAUUAGUAUUGAAUAAACAAAUUAACCUCAUGGGGCACAUGAUUUGGCCUGUAGGAUAAUUGAAUCUAUGGUAAGGGGCAUUGUUUUAUCAAGAAGUAAUUUUAGCCAGUUCCUGUUAUGAUCUUAAACUGGGGAAAUACAAAACAAUAAGAUAAGGCUUAUUGAACAUUUACUCUGUUGGAUCCUGAAGCUUCAUUCAGAUUAUCAUUUGCAUCCCUUAAAACAACAACAUCAACUACAGCUCUUAUUUUCAUUUUGCCAAUGUAGAAACUGAGGCUCAGAGAGAUUAAAAACCUUCUCCAAAA